rnacentral:rRNA from 1 species
AACGCGAAGAACCUUACCUGCCCCUUACAUCCUGGGAACUUGUCAGAGAUGACUUGGUGCCUUCGGGAACCGCCUGACAGGUGCUGCAUGGCGGUCGUCAGCUGGUGUCGUGAGAUGUUGGGUUAAGUCCCGCAACGAGCGCAACCCUUGUCCCUAGUUGCCAGCAUUAAGUUGGGCACUCUAGGGAGACCGCCGGUGACAAACCGGAGGAAGGUGGGGAUGACGUCAAGUCAUCAUGGCCCUUAUGGGCAGGGCUACACACGUGCUACAAUGGCCAGUACAAAGGGUUGCCAACCCGCGAGGGGGAGCCAAUCCCACAAAGCUGGUCGUAGUCCGGAUCGGAGUCUGCAACUCGACUCCGUGAAGUUGGAAUCGCUAGUAAUCCCGAAUCAACAUUCGUCUCGGCGAAUACUUUCCCGGGUCUUGUACACACCG